rnacentral:rRNA from 1 species
AUCAACCGAGAUUCCCCCAGUAGCGGCGAGCGAACGGGGAGCAGCCCGGAGUCUGAAUCAGCUUGUGUGUUAGUGGAAGCGUCUGGAAAGUCGCAGGGUACAGGGUGAUACUCCCGUACACUAAAACGCACAGGCUGUGAACUCGAAGAGUAGGGCGGGACACGUGGUAUCCUGUCUGAAUAUGGGGGGACCAUCCUCCAAGGCUAAAUACUCCUGACUGACCGAUAGUGAACCAGUACCGUGAGGGAAAGGCGA